rnacentral:rRNA from 1 species
GAUGAACGCUGGCGGCGUGCCUAAUACAUGCAAGUCGAGCGAACGGACGAGAAGCUUGCUUCUCUGAUGUUAGCGGCGGACGGGUGAGUAAAACGUGGAUAACCUACCUAUAAGACUGGGAUAACUUCGGGAAACCGGAGCUAAUACCGGAUAAUAUUUUGAACCGCAUGGUUCAAAAGUGAAAGACGGUCUUGCUGUCACUUAUAGAUGGAUCCGCGCUGCAUUAGCUAGUUGGUAAGGUAACGGCUUACCAAGGCAACGAUGCAUAGCCGACCUGAGAGGGUGAUCGGCCACACUGGAACUGAGACACGGUCCAGAAUCCUACGGGAGGCAGCAGUAGGGAAUCUUCCGCAAUGGGCGAAAGCCUGACGGAGCAACGCCGCGUGAGUGAUGAAGGUCUUCGGAUCGUAAAACUCUGUUAUUAGGGAAGAACAUAUGUGUAAGUAACUGUGCACAUCUUGACGGUACCUAAUCAGAAAGCCACGGCUAACUACGUG